UUUCUGCUGGGCACUCACACUCUUUUCCCUGCUUUAUCACCACAUAAACUUGGCUUUUUCCCCCCUUUACUGCAGCCACCUUCUGCCCUUCAUGGAGAAUUACCUGAUUCCCUUCAGGUGAUGCUCAUUUUGUAAUCAGGUUGGCUCAGGCCAGGCUCUCCAGCCAAUGGGGCAAGCCACCUGGUUACACAUAGCCUUCCUUAAAACACACUUCUUCUGCAAAGAUUUCUAGCACUGACCUCACCACUGAAAUUGUCUCUGCCCCUUAUUGUUUGAACUGCUGUCUCAGAUACCAUGGUAAUCUGAGUGAUUCUGUAAAGAGGAAUGUUGGGCCAGUGGUGAAGGUGCUGACUUGAGAGACCUGGGUUCAAUUCCCUGCUCAGCCACAGACUUCAGGCAAAUCACUUAGUCUCUGUGGCGCAGUUCUCCAGAUGCUAUUUUACUGGUGAGUGCAGAAAUUACAACAUGCAGAAAAGGCACCUCAAGAGCGAUAUCAACAUUUUCACUACAAUGUUCACUGUCAAGUAACAAAUAAAGUCAAAGAGGAACAGCCACAGAAGAUGCUGAUAAAAAGCAAGGAGGGAGAUGAUGAGUCAGUGUGGAAUUAAUCCACCAUCAACACCAAUAUGAUCAUCAUGAACUAUAUAUCAGUGACAGAUAUAAAACAGCUGUUGGAUUCAGUAUGCCUUUAAUUAAGCAACUGAUCUUGCAUAACCAUGCUACUAGUUUGUCUUACAAUCCAUAUUCCUUAUAUCAUUCUCCCCUCCUCCAGGCUUGGCAUAACCUUUACAUAAAUACAAUAGCAACAGUUAGCUAAACAUGAAUAUCUGCACGACAAAGUGAACCAAAUUUCAUUUCAGAGAAUGACUAUUGACUUUUUCUAUAAAUUAGGCAACAGUUUUUAAAAGCCAGGAUACUUCACAACAAGGCAAACUAUAAUGAAUCGCCAAUUUUCUCAUCAGCAGCAAAUGAAGGGAAGUUUCUGCUGCCUGCUCCCAGAAUUUCUCAAUCCUCAGAGCCACUGACUGCCACUCAUCAUGCUAUAAUAAGUAGAGCGGUAAAGAAAGUAGGAAAGAACAGAGGAAGUUGUAUGAAAUGUUAUCAACUACUUCAUGGAUAUUUUCAUCAAAGACCCAGAAUUGCUAGGUCUCAGAAUGCCUACAUCCAGCCAGUCUUCUGAACAUUUUGUUAAACAUCAGAGAAUUGUAGCAUUUUGGCCUUUGCUUAACAGUGGCAGAGAACUUUCCUCUGAAAUCCACGAGUGGAUUCAGAACUGGUUUAUUUGGUUUAAUAAGAACAACAAACUAUUUAGCCAUAUUUUUGAAGCUCCAUUCCCUCAGUUUUCUCCUGGCACAUGCAGAACAGGCUAAUGAAGCCAACCACAGCUCAAGAACUGAUAUUAUUCAUAUUUGGAGGGCUGAAAAUCUGUUUUCAUUGAUUGUACAACAGACAAAUGGCGAUUCUGCAGCUGACUCUUGGGACAGUAUGUAAGAUAUGCAUGGCAUGCUGAAAGCAUUGUAGUCUGGCUUUGCAAGGGGGAAUUUCCUAGAUAAGGACAGCAUUCAGGAAGAGAAGGAAGGAAGAAGUGAGUGAAAAAGCAUACAGCAGC